GACGAACGCUGGCGGCGUGCUUAACACAUGCAAGUCGAACGGAAAGGCCCUGCUCUUGCGGGGUGCUCGAGUGGCGAACGGGUGAGUAACACGCGUGUAUCCCGCCCUUGACUGUGUGAUAACUUCAGGAAACUGGGGCUAAUACCGGAUAGGAGCUCCUGCAGCACGGUGGGGGUUGGAAAGUUUCGGCGGUUGUGGAUGGAUUCGCGGGUUAUCCGCUUGUUGGUGGAGUAGUGGUUUACCAAGGCUUCGACGGGUAGCCGGCCUGAGAGGGUGGCCGGCGACAUUGGGACUGAGAGACGGACCAGACUCCUACGGGAGGCAGUGGGGGGGAAUAUUGCGCAGUGGGGGGAAGUCUGUUGCGGCGGCGCCGCGUGCGGGAUGACGGCCUUCGGGUGGUGAACCGCUGUGGCCUGUGACGAGGCGUGAGUGACGGUAAUGGGUAAAGAAGCACCGGCUAACUACGUG
rnacentral:rRNA from 1 species